GACGAACGCUGGCGGCGUGCCUAAUACAUGCAAGUCGAACGAACUCUGGUAUUGAUUGGUGCUUGCAUCAUGAUUUACAUUUGAGUGAGUGGCGAACUGGUGAGUAACACGUGGGAAACCUGCCCAGAAGCGGGGGAUAACACCUGGAAACAGAUGCUAAUACCGCAUAACAACUUGGACCGCAUGGUCCGAGCUUGAAAGAUGGCUUCGGCUAUCACUUUUGGAUGGUCCCGCGGCGUAUUAGCUAGAUGGUGGGGUAACGGCUCACCAUGGCAAUGAUACGUAGCCGACCUGAGAGGGUAAUCGGCCACAUUGGGACUGAGACACGGCCCAAACUCCUACGGGAGGCAGCAGUAGGGAAUCUUCCACAAUGGACGAAAGUCUGAUGGAGCAACGCCGCGUGAGUGAAGAAGGGUUUCGGCUCGUAAAACUCUGUUGUUAAAGAAGAACAUAUCUGAGAGUAACUGUUCAGGUAUUGACGGUAUUUAACCAGAAAGCCACGGCUAACUACGUGCCAGCAGCCGCGGUAAUACGUAGGUGGCAAGCGUUGUCCGGAUUUAUUGGGCGUAAAGCGAGCGCAGGCGGUUUUUUAAGUCUGAUGUGAAAGCCUUCGGCUCAACCGAAGAAGUGCAUCGGAAACUGGGAAACUUGAGUGCAGAAGAGGACAGUGGAACUCCAUGUGUAGCGGUGAAAUGCGUAGAUAUAUGGAAGAACACCAGUGGCGAAGGCGGCUGUCUGGUCUGUAACUGACGCUGAGGCUCGAAAGUAUGGGUAGCAAACAGGAUUAGAUACCCUGGUAGUCCAUACCGUAAACGAUGAAUGCUAAGUGUUGGAGGGUUUCCGCCCUUCAGUGCUGCAGCUAACGCAUUAAGCAUUCCGCCUGGGGAGUACGGCCGCAAGGCUGAAACUCAAAGGAAUUGACGGGGGCCCGCACAAGCGGUGGAGCAUGUGGUUUAAUUCGAAGCUACGCGAAGAACCUUACCAGGUCUUGACAUACUAUGCAAAUCUAAGAGAUUAGACGUUCCCUUCGGGGACAUGGAUACAGGUGGUGCAUGGUUGUCGUCAGCUCGUGUCGUGAGAUGUUGGGUUAAGUCCCGCAACGAGCGCAACCCUUAUUAUCAGUUGCCAGCAUUAAGUUGGGCACUCUGGUGAGACUGCCGGUGACAAACCGGAGGAAGGUGGGGAUGACGUCAAAUCAUCAUGCCCCUUAUGACCUGGGCUACACACGUGCUACAAUGGAUGGUACAACGAGUUGCGAACUCGCGAGAGUAAGCUAAUCUCUUAAAGCCAUUCUCAGUUCGGAUUGUAGGCUGCAACUCGCCUACAUGAAGUCGGAAUCGCUAGUAAUCGCGGAUCAGCAUGCCGCGGUGAAUACGUUCCCGGGCCUUGUACACACCGCCCGUCACACCAUGAGAGUUUGUAACACCCAAAGUCGGUGGGGUAACCUUUUAGGAACCAGCCGUCUAAGGUGGGACAGAUGAUUAGGGUG
rnacentral:rRNA from 1 species